rnacentral:lncRNA from 9 species
UACAGAGCCUCUCCAGCAGGACUGGGGACACAGAGAAUAGGGUAGGGGUAUUUCUCAGUAUUUCUCACUGAGGGUCUAUGCCGACAGUAACCUGAUCCUGGGGCCCCUAGCAGGAUUGGAGAGCAAGUUAUGCCCUGACUUAGGUUGAGACUGAGUCUAGCCAGGGCACUGAGAAAGAGCUGAAGAGGUCUGAGAGUUGGUUCACAACUGUGAGGCUGGGCAUCAGGCCAGGCCUGAAGCAGUCUUUCAGCAUCCAAGGAAACAAACGGAUUUCCCCCCAGGAUCUGGAGGAGGAUUGCUCGUAGGCGGUACAUCCUCACUCCAAAGGAGAAAACAAAAACAAAAACACCUGUGUGAUCAGCGGGAAAGAGGAAGAAAUCACAAAGCCUGCUUGGUUUGGACACAGUGCGAGGUUACCCUGCAAGGAAACCCAAGAAUUCACUCGCUGGAGAUGCUCAUCUGAGCCUGGUGAUGUAGUAAUAAAUUGGAG